GAGAUAUCAGUAAGUGCGACCAGUAUUUGACCUCGAUGGUUCAGAAAGGUAGCGGUUGAUGGAAGCUAUCCCAUUCAGUCAAGGAAUCCCCGCAUUGUCUACUUUAUGAAAGCAAGGAUUAAAUAAAGUCGGUCCAUCACCGUUAUGAUGAAGGUGUGAGAUUAAUGAUGUAAUCUCGAACUCGGGUGGUACCGCGGAAAAGAGGCUUUUCGUCCCAAUA
rnacentral:ncRNA from 1 species